UCCUUGGUGGUCCAGUGGUUAGGACUCUGUGCUUCCACUACUGAGGGUCCCAGUUCAAUCCCUGGUCAGGGAA
rnacentral:tRNA from 1 species